rnacentral:rRNA from 1 species
GACGAACGCUGGCGGCGUGCUUAACACAUGCAAGUCGAACGAUGAAGCGGCCAGCUUGCUGGUGGUGGAUUAGUGGCGAACGGGUGAGUAACACGUGAGUAACCUGUCCUUCACUCUGGGAUAAGCCCUGGAAACGGGGUCUAAUACUAGAUAUUCUCAAUGUGCCGCAUGGUGUGUUGUGGAAAGAUUUUUUGGUGAGGGUUGGACUCGCGGCCUAUCAGCUUGUUGGUGGGGUAGUGGCCUACCAAGGCUUUGACGGGUAGCCGGCCUGAGAGGGUGACCGGCCACACUGGGACUGAGACACGGCCCAGACUCCUACGGGAGGCAGCAGUGGGGAAUAUUGCACAGUGGGCGCAAGCCUGAUGCAGCGACGCCGCGUGGGGGAUGAAGGCCUUCGGGUUGUAAACUCCUUUCGCCAUUGACGAAGCGAAAGUGACGGUAGGGGAGGAAGGUGGUGAGGUUAAUAAGCUCAUCAAUUGACGUUACCCGCAGAAGAAGCACCGGCUAACUCCGUGCCAGCCGCCGCGGUAACAC